GGUCCGCUGGCGUAAUGGCAGCGCGUCUGACUACGAAUAAGUACAUCAGGAGGUUCCAGGUUCGACCCCUGGGCGGAUCG